rnacentral:rRNA from 1 species
GAUGAACGCUGGCGGCGUGCCUAAUACAUGCAAGUCGAGCGAAUGGAUUAAGAGCUUGCUCUUAUGAAGUUAGCGGCGGACGGGUGAGUAACACGUGGGUAACCUGCCCAUAAGACUGGGAUAACUCCGGGAAACCGGGGCUAAUACCGGAUAACAUUUUGAACCGCAUGGUUCGAUAUUGAAAGUCGGAUUCGGCUGUAACUUAUGGAUGUACCAGCGUGGCAUUAGCUAGUUGGUGAGGUAACGGCUCAGCAAGGCAACGCUGCGUAGCCGAGCGCGAACGGUGAUCGGCCCAACUGGGACUGAGACACGGCCCAGUCUCCUACGGGAGGCAGCAGUAGGGAAUCUUCCGCGAUUUACGAAAGUCUGACGGAGCAACGCCGCGUGAGUGAUGGAGGCUUUCGGGUCGUAAAACUCUGUUGUUAGGGAAGAACAAGUGCUAGUUGAAUAAGCUGGCACCUUGACGGUACCUAACCAGAAAGCCACGGCUAACUACGUGCCAGCCGCCGCCGUAA